GACGAACGCUGGCGGCGUGCCUCAAACAUGCAAGUCGAGCGAGGGUUGGCCGGUCCGCAAGGAUCGGUUCAACUCUAGCGGCGAACGGGUGAGUAACACGUGGGCAAUCUGCCCCACAGACGGGGACAACCUCGGGAAACCGGGGCUAAUACCCGGUACCCUCGCCGGGUGGCAUCACCUGGUGAGGAAACGUCGCAAGACGCUGUGGGAUGAGCCCGUGGCCUAUCAGCUAGUUGGUGGGGUAACGGCCUACCAAGGCGACGACGGGUAGCUGGCCUGAGAGGGUGGUCAGCCACACUGGGACUGAGACACGGCCCAGACUCCUACGGGAGGCAGCAGUUGGGAAUUUUGGGCAAUGGGCGCAAGCCUGACCCAGCGACGCCGCGUGGGGGAUGAAGGCCUUCGGGUCGUAAACCCCUGUCAGGAGGGACGAAGCCGCAAGGUGACGGUACCUCCAGAGGAAG
rnacentral:rRNA from 1 species